GGAGGGAUGCCCGAGUGGUUAAAGGGGACGGACUGUAAAUCCGUUGGCUAUGCCUACGUUGGUUCAAAUCCAACUCCCUCCACC
rnacentral:tRNA from 2 species